AUUGAGGAGUGCAUAACACCUUCCUCUCGGUCAAUAGAAUUUCUUAGCCGAAAUCUCUGUUCGCAGACCAGUUUUAAUGAGUCAAAUCAUUUUGAAAAGGGUUUUCCAAAGGUGACUUGACACACCUGAUUAUGCCAAGUGGCGACUCUGAGUUUUGAAUAUAAAAGAUCAUUUUCAAAAUAAAUUUUCACCUUUUGUCACUUAAUAAUAAAAAAAUCCUUUCAAACGAUAAAAUUAAUUUCUUUUUGAUAGAAAAAGGGGUGUGACAAUUAUUAUUAAAUAAUUUUUUUCUAUUUUAAUAUAUUAUCUUCUUGCCUUAGGUUCAACCUUCCCCUACCACGCCAGUACAUGGAAAGCAGUAUUUCCUUACCAAAUAAUAUCUUGGUACUUUUGUCAUGCUCCCAUUCCAUAGUCCAUGAUCAAUAACACUCCGAACAUCAAUUAUUUUUAAUAAAAAAUAACCCCAAUUGGUAAAAGUGUCUUGUCGUUAUAUAUCCCAUUUGCACCUCAAAGGUAUGAUUUUUAUGUAUCAGAUUGAUAAAUUUCGUCCAUAUACAUUCUAUUUAUGUAUCAUAACGUUCAAUGAAACAACCAGAAUUGUAAAUAUUAUUUUUGAUACAUAGAUAUUUUUUUGACAAAGAUAUUACAUGUAUUCUGAUACAUAAAACUAUUUCUGACAGAGGUAAUCAAUGAUUUCUAAUACAUUCAAUAUAUAUUUCUUAUUCUUUUUAAAAAAUUAUCUAGUCUUAAAUUAAAGUUAUAUUAAAUAUAUUAAAAUAUUAUUUAAUAAUUUUAAAUAUGAUAUAUAAAAUUAAAAUUAAAGUGUUAUUAAAAAUAAAAUAAUUAUUUUUUUAAAAUUAACUAAAAAGAAAUGUAUUUCAUUGUUUUUUAAAGAGUAUUAAUUUUUAAUUAAAAACAAUGACACCACAUAUUGGUACAGGACUCUAGUUUAAAUAUCUCCUUUUGCACCUCAAAAAUUAAUUGUAUCAUCACUAAUACACUAUACACCAUAUCUUAUACAUCACCAUGGACUCCGGUGACAAUGAGGUUGUAGUUGAUUUCCCUCAACUCAUCCGUGUCUACAAAAGCGGCCGCGUUGAGCGUUUAUUCAGUUCACCUAUCGUUCCUCCGUCACCGGAAGAUCCUACCACUGGCGUUGCCUCAAAGGAUAUAGACAUUUCACCUGAAAUUCAAGCCAGAAUCUACCUCCCAAAGCUCACGAACCUCCACCAAACACUUCCUAUUUUAGUCUACUAUCAUGGAGGCGGAUUCUGUCUCGAAUCCGCCUUCUCUUUCCUUGACCAUCGUUACAUGAACCGCCUUGUUUCAGAAUCCAACGCCAUUGUCAUUUCGGUGGAGUACCGU
rnacentral:lncRNA from 1 species